rnacentral:tRNA from 1 species
ACUUAAAUAGCUUAUAGUUUAGAGCGUGACACUGAAGAUGUUGAUGAGGCAUUUAUGCCUUUGAGUA